CGCCGCAUUCGUCCUCGUUCCUCUCCCUCCCACCCCAUCGGCGCCGCCGACCUCUACCGCAGACCUCGCCGCCGCCGCCGCCGCUGACCUCUCCCCGUCUCCCGCGGACCUCGCUGCCGCCGCCGAACCCACUACCACCCCUUCCCUCCCCUCACAUCCCCUCGUCAGAGGAGAAGGGAAGAUAAGAGGAAUGUGAGAUCGAGCGGGUGAGUAGGCCAGGAGGCAGCCAUGGCGUUCAGAUCCGCCGGCGCCAUCUUCAACUGAUUCUUCGACCUGCGUGUGGUGUGCCUCUGCUCGGCCGUGCGACGAGACGGGCUCCCUGCUCCGUGCCCAUGCAUUCCGAUGGUGAGGUGCACGCACGCGUCUAGAGGCGGAGCACAACCUUGCUGCAGCGGCUCGCCGGAGGCCCCUUUGCUCUCUCUUUUUUUGAAAGAAAAGGCAUACCAAAAUCUGCCUUAUCCUGCAGGUGGCUCUCAGGGAGCACCACCUGUUGCCUCAUUAUUAUUAAAAUCAAUUACGGGAUUGAUUGUCUGGAAAAGAUCAAUGUGAUUCUCAUGUCCAUUAAUUUGUUCAAUCUCAGUGAAUCUCACAUCAAAACAUUGUCUUUAAAAUUAUAAGCAAACUGUACUAGAAUGGUAAGGUGUAGUGUAGGAGAAAUAGCUGAGAACUGAGUUCCUCACUCUUGUGUAGGAUAAUAAGCUACAUGUCUUCUCUAUCUAGCGUUAGAUUUAUCAUGUCCUUUAAGGAUUGCAGAAUUGAUAGCCCAUCACAGUGCCUCGGAAUGCUAUUUGCAAGUAGAAUUGAUAGUCAUGUGUCGUUUGGUUCACUGGUUCAACGCAUCUGUAUAUGCCAUGACAGUUGGUUGGUUGUGAAACCAAAUUACCAUGGUGAGGUCUCCUAUAAUUCUUCUUGAUGCACCAAAGCAUUUGCAGCUACUUACUUUAUAGAAGAUGCCCUUUUGCUGGGUGUAUGCGAGCUCUAAUUCCUCUUCUCUGCAUAAAUGAAUCCCCUUUUGUUGUUCUGCUGUGUGCAGGCACUUUGUUCUCAUCCCAUCUGAUCUGGUUGUGUCAACAAAGGUGUCCGUCGGGAAGCUGCUCUCACACGGGUUCAAGGGCAUGCCGUGCCGGGAAAGGAGGGCUGCUCCGACCCUGACAGCAUGGAAGGUCGCCCAUGUCUUCUCAACACUUUGAGCAGUGCAUCCGCAAGGCCGAGGAGGAUCCUCAACGCGCCAUGGUCUGGGCCAUCCUCAGCGCCAUAGUGUCGACUUCCAUGAUGAAGGCGACCAUAGGCAGCAUGUCAUUGAGUAGUCACCGAACGGGCACCAAUGUUCCUCUUCGGCUUGGGUGCACACACCACUGGGACGGUGAUGACUGUCGUAACCUCCAUGUUUGGCUACUAUGAUUUGUACAGGAAGUUAGCAAUACACACACUAUGCGUUGUUCACUGCAAGUGUGUACAAGCAUGCACUAGGUCAGAAUAGUGGUUCACUUUGCACAGGUGUACCCUCCACAUGAGGUGCUCUCAGUCUUGCUUAAUCUUGAACCGGACACCAUUGCUGGUGAACAACUAAGCUGGUCUAACUAGAGAGGCGUGCAUUGUAGCUCAUGUCUAGCGCUAGUGGUGCAAGGAGCUACCUACUAUUGGGUGUUGUUUGCAAAAUGGUCUGGGUACCAGCAUGUAUGUAGAGAGUGUAUCAUGUUAUAAUUUUGUGCUUCUGCAAAUAUGCGAAAUACUAUCUAUCAUAGAAUCACACACACGAUCAGGACGAGAAGUUGACUGAGAUGGAGUUGGGGCAUGGGUAGUGUUGUGUAUGGACCAUUAUAAGAUUCUAUAAUUUUGAACUCUAAUGUUUUCUUAGUCUAUCCAUGAGGCGUGCUACGCAAUGCCACUACUCUUUUGGAAAUGGCAACUUGAUUGUUGGUGACUAUGUGUAAGAUGCAAUUUUGAGUGGUUUAGUCCGGUACCCUACUGUUGCAAAUCAAAUCAUUUCCAAUUGCUCUGUCUUUGUCCUUGAACACUCUGUUUUGUUUUCUACAUUGGAGCUGGGAAAUACAGGGCAAUGUUUCCUAUGUGAGUUGCCGCCAUGUUGUACAAUAUCCAUAUUAGCCUUUUAUGUCAACCAAUCAGUUCAUGUUCAGGGGGAAUAUUAUAUGUUUUGUUCUUGUAAGAGUUUAGGAGAAAUCGUCAUCGAGAAAAAAAAAUUGUUUGUUUUAUGAUGCUGACAAACUGGGAAUAUUUAGUCUGCUCAAGAACUCUCUCUCCAUCCUUUGAUGAUUACCCUGUAAUCCUGUAUAGAUGCCAUUUGAAGAAUGUUUUGUUAACCUUGGUCUCCUCGUAUGAAGUGUCGUUUACCUUUGAGCAGUCCGCUAAUGUUUUUUUAGCAAAGUUGCAUUGUUUCUACACUCUAGCAAAGUUGCAUUGUCUGGUCCAUACCUUUGCGUCAACUAUGACCUAUGUUUGAUUCCUUGCUGUUUGAGCUACAUGAGACUUAAUAGAUAGGAUGAAUUCAUGAUAAUGCUUAGAAUCAAGAAUAUGGUUCUCAAUGAUAUUCAUUGCUCCAUUUGGUUGUUGAAUGUAUUUCUAGCUAAGGUGUAGACUGCAUCUUUUUUGACGGCGCAGAUUGCUUUGCAGAUUUUCAAGUAGUUUGUUGCAUGUGACUUGUGUUCAUACAUCUUCUAUACAUUUCUAUGAUUUUUCAGGUAAUAAACGGUUGCUGAAUUGACACAUGCUUCGUGCUUGAUAGUGAAGAAAUAUAGGCGAAAAUUCAGAGAUCCCUGAAGAAAUCAAGGCUAAAAUCAUGGUUGUUAAAGACCCUUCCAAAGCCGGGAUGAGACGUUGAAGGAGCGGAGUUUCUGGAGCAUCAAGGAAUGGUCGGUGAAACAUUACAACCUGUUAUUUUCCAAAACACGGUCUUGUGUACAUUGAGCGAGCAUGAUGCUCUAGAGAGCUAGUUCCCAACCUUGCCCAGGCUAGCCAGGCAGUACAGCAAGGCAUCCUUAUUGAAUGAGAUGUUGCCAAGGGGACAUUUGAAACGCUAUUUAGUCUGCGGAAACAGGGUUUUCAUCUUUCCCUCACACCAAAGCAAUUGCAAGGAGAGCAUGGACAUCAACUUGUCAUAUGACCAAUAACGGAGAAGAAAUAUACAAAGGAAUGUGCAAGCCAUGAAUGUUUGAUUCUGUAUUUGACCAACCAGGAUUGACUACGAUUGUUGGAAAUAAAGUGGAUAAGGAAUUUGUGAGAGCUAUCAUGAAAAGGCGUUGACUUUGCUAGGGAAUAUGGAUGUUUAUUUAUGGAAUGCAGUGCCAGAACCAAAGUGAAUAUGGAGCAAUGCUUUGAGGAGUUUGCACUGCUGGUAUAUAUUGUAACGCCCUCGAUGCGGCUAUAGCUCCCACGUGUCGAGGCACGACUUAGAGGCAUAACCGCAUUGAAAGCAAUGUCGCAAGUCAGGCAAUCAUUACAACAUCCCAUGUAAUAUAUAA